AGGACGAACGCUGGCGGCGUGCUUAACACAUGCAAGUCGAGCGGUAAGGCUCCUUCGGGAGUACACGAGCGGCGAACGGGUGAGUAACACGUGAGCAAUCUGCCCUUCUCUUCGGAAUAACCAUUGGAAACGAUGGCUAAUGCCGAAUACGACCUCCUUUCGCAUGAUCGGAGGUGGAAAGCUCCGGCGGAGAAGGAUCGAGCGUCGCGGCCUAUCGAGCUAGUGGCGGGUAACGGCCACAGGCGACGACGGGUA
rnacentral:rRNA from 1 species